UCUCCCCCACCUCCCUCAUACAUGUAAUGUAGAGCUCGUUCCCCUCCACAUACAGCACUCACCUGCACUGAUGUUUCCUCUGUAACCUGGGAGGCUCCGCCCAUUACUCUUUAAAGCUCGUCUUCCUAUGAUGUCCCGGAGGAACUCUUUUCUGUUCACCACUGUGGAGGUUCCUACAAUAUAGGAUCCGCUCAGUGGAUAUCUUCUAUAUAAGAUCCUUCUCCUGAUUGACCCGUCAAGGAUGGAUAGGUACAGGGACAAGAUGGCAGAGAGUAUAAUAAAUCUCACCCUAGAGAUCCUCUUCCGGCUUACUGGAGAGGACUACACAGUAGUGAAGAAGACCUCUGGUGGGAGCUGUCAGGACCCUGUGUCUGAA